CCUACGGGAGGCAGCAGUGGGGGAUAUUGCACAAUGGGGGAAACCCUGAUGCAGCGACGCCGCGUGAGUGAAGAAGUAUUUCGGUAUGUAAAGCUCUAUCAGCCGGGAAGAAAAUGACAGUACCUGACCAAGAAGCCCCGGCUAACUACGUGCCAGCAGCCGCGGUAAUACGUAGGGGGCAAGCGUUAUCCGGAUUUAAUGGGUGUAAAGGGGGCGUAGACGGUUCUGUAAGUCUGGAGUGAAAGCCCGGGGCCCAACCCCGGGAGUGCUGUGGAAACUGGGUAACUGGAGUACAGGAGGGGCAGGCGGAAUGCUCGGUGUAGCAGUGAAAUGCGUGGAUAUCGAGAGGAACACUCGUGGCGAAGGCGGGUUCCUGGACAUUAACUGACGCUGAGGCACGAAGGCCAGGGGAGCGAAAGGGAUUAGAUACCCGGGUAGUC
rnacentral:rRNA from 1 species